CAUAUCAAUAAGCGGAGGAAAAGAAACCAACAGGGAUUGCCCCAGUAACGGCGAGUGAAGCGGCAACAGCUCAAAUUUGAAAUCUGGCCCCAGGCCCGAGUUGUAAUUUGCAGAGGAUGCUUUUGGCGCGGUGCCUUCCGAGUUCCCUGGAACGGGACGCCAUAGAGGGUGAGAGCCCCGUACGGUUGGACACCAAGCCUUUGUAAAGCUCCUUCGACGAGUCGAGUAGUUUGGGAAUGCUGCUCUAAAUGGGAGGUACAUUUCUUCUAAAGCUAAAUAUUGGCCAGAGACCGAUAGCGCACAAGUAGAGUGAUCGAAAGAUGAAAAGCACUUUGAAAAGAGGGUUAAACAGCACGUGAAAUUGUUAAAAGGGAAGCGCUUGUGACCAGACUUGCGUCCGGUGAAUCACCCAGCUCUCGCGGCUGGGGCACUUCGCCGGCACAGGCCAGCAUCAGCUUGCCGUCGGGGACAAAAGCUUCAGGAACGUGGCUCCUCUCGGGGAGUGUUAUAGCCUGUUGCAUAAUACCCUUCGGCGGGCUGAGGUACGCGCUCCGCAAGGAUGCUGGCGUAAUGGUCAUCAGCGACCCGUCUUGAAACACGGACCAAGGAGUCAACCUUAUGUGCGAGUGUUUGGGUGUCAAACCCCUACGCGUAAUGAAAGUGAACGCAGGUGAGAGCUUCGGCGCAUCAUCGACCGAUCCUGAUGUUCUCGGAUGGAUUUGAGUAAGAGCAUAUAGGGUUGGACCCGAAAGAAGGUGAACUAUGCGUGUGUAGGGUGAAGCCAGAGGAAACUCUGGUGGAGGCUCGCAGCGGUUCUGACGUGCAAAUCGAUCGUCAAACAUGCGCAUGGGGGCGAAAGACUAAUCGAACCUUCUAGUAGCUGGUUUCCGC
rnacentral:rRNA from 1 species